UGAGCCAAUUUGCAGUUUUCCAUCAAGGCUUGCUCCGCCCCUUUUCCACCUCUUGGCUCCUCAAUCAAGGGAUUGGAGCAGCUACAACUAAGCAUUCAUCCUGAACUUGAAAAGACUGCAGAAUUACAAACAGUAAUAGAAAAAACCCAUAAGAAGAUAGUAAUGGACAAAAAGCAGACAUCUGCAGCUCUUCUGUGCUUGGCUAAAAGCUAAAUACAUAAAUCUCCAUACUCUGGCAGGUCAGCACCAUGAUGUCAGAAGCUUUCUACAGGGAUGUGCGUGCCAAAGGGGAGAGAGAAGACAUGAAGUAAGGCAUGCUAAGAAAGAGACAGAAAAGGACAGAGGGAUGAUGGAUAUUUCACGGAGUCCCAUCCUACAUUCUGCAUCCUGGAUUUGACCUAAAAGCUGGACUUGCUUUUGAGUCACAUCUGUUUUUUGUUUUCUCUUACAAAGCAGAAUAAUAAAAACAGGGCAACUAAGAGCUGUUUCCCUGCAGUCCCAUUGUCAGGGAGAAGUCACAUCAGUAAAGAUGGGUGGGAUAUUCCCAUGCUCUGUGCUGUAAGGAAAUCUUUAGCUGGAUGUUCUGACAUAUUUACAUUUAUGAAAAUCAAAUAGUAAGCUCUUUGUCAAUUCAAAACUCCAGAAUUUUCACUUUCGUGUCACAAUUUUGCCUCUUGGGGAUCUGUCUCAUCAGAAUAGUGCUUUUAUUCUCAGAAUUCUUUGUUCUCAGAAUUCCAGGUUUACCCAAGACGUAUCACUUUUUUCCUCAUAAUCAUUACUUUAUUCUCAGAAUUUUGACUCACGGAAUUCACACUAUAAUUUGGGAAUUCUGAUUUUCAUCUCAGCACUCUCACCAUGUUCUCAGAGUUCUGGUUUUUACCUCAAAUUUUUUACUUUCUUGCCGGAAACUUGCCUCUUAGAGUUCACUCUGUCUCAUCAGAAUAAUGUAUUCUCAAUUUGUUCUCAGAAUUCCAGCUUUUACCAAAGAAUUCUCACAACCUGUGAAAUUCUCACUUUUAUCUCAAAGUCUAAUGUUCAUUUGAGAAUUGUCACAUGGUUCUCACAAAUCUAUUCUGUCAAUUCUAUGUGUCAACAUUCCAAGAACAAUCUGACAGUUCUGAGAACAAAGAGAAUUCUUACUGUCUCAUCAGAAUACUGAUUUUUACCUCAGAAUUGUAAGAGGCAAAAUUCUGACAGGAAAGUGAAAAUUCUGAGGUAAAGUCCAUAAUUCGAAGAACUGGGAAAGAAUUCUAAAAUCGAAUUCAGAAUUUUGGGUUAAAAGUAAGCAUUCUGUGUCAAGAUUCCAAGAACAAUUUUAGAAUUGUUCAAAACUUGGGUCUUAUUAAGGUUAUCUCUCUGCCCGAAAUGCUUUCCAGUCAUGGUCAAAAUUUAGAUGCUGAAAUAGAACCACCAGGAACUUCUGAAACUCAACAUAUUGUUCUUGACUAUGUUAGCAGUCUUCGGGAAAGCCUCCACCUUGCAAGUCAGUUAGCUAGGGAAAAUUUGAUGCAUGCCCAGACUAAGAUGAAGGCUCGUUAUGAUUACAAAAACUGUUAGAAGUUUUGAGCCAGGAGACAAAGUGUUGGUGUUGUUACCUGUGGUAGGAUCCAACUUGCUAGCCCAGUUUGCUGGCCCAUACUCAGUGGAACAGAAUCUCAGUGACAAAUUAUGUGAUCCAAACCCCAGACCGACGGGGAAAGUCUAGGGUUUGCCACAUUAACAUGUUGGAAUCGUAUCACUCGAGAAACCACUUGGUUGAGCCAGCCCCGGUAUACACUGCUAGUGUCAUUUCUCCCUAUGAACCCUCCGAUGAUGGACUGCUGGACAAAUCUGCUGUGCUGGGUAGCGGCUGCUUGAAAAAUUCUGAGAUCUUAAAUGAUCUAGAGACAUUUUUGGCCCACUUAUUAAAAGGAAGUCAGCUAUCUUAUAGAACAGGGGAAGGCAACUCCCAGCCUCAAGGGCCGGUAUCCUGCCGGUUUUAGACCCUGGGUCAACACACCUGAAUGAAUGAUUAGUUUAUUAUCAGGCCUCUAGAGAACUUCAAGACAUGUUUAGGAGGUGAUUUAGCAAUUUGAAUCAGCUCUGUAGGUUCAAGGAUACAUCAAAAACCGGCAGAACACUGGCACUUGAGGCCUGGAGUUGCCUACCCCUGUUAUUGAACACUGUUUAGCUGUUCCAAGCACCAGUGCAUGGAGUUCACUGUGUGUGUAGGUACCAAAAUCCGACAAUACCUUUCCUUUCCAGUCAC